AUUGACCGCUGGCGGCAGGCCUAACACAUGCAAGUCGAGCGAGCGGCGGACGGGUGAGUAAUGUCUGGGAAACUGACUGAUGGAGGGGGAUAACUACUGGAAACGGUCGCUAAUACCGCAUACCAUCAGAUGUGCCCCGAGGGGAUUAGCUAGUAGGUGGGGUAACGGCUCACCUAGGCGACGCUCCCUAGCUGGUCUGAGAGGAUGAUCAGCCACACUGGAACUGAGACACGGUCCAGACUCCGACGGGAGGCAGCAGUGGGGAAUAUUGCACAAUGGGCGCAAGCCUGAUGCAGCCAUGCCGCGUGUGUGAAGAAGGCCUUCGGGUUGUAAAGCACUUUCAGCGGGGAGGCGUUACCCGCAGAAGAAGCACCGGCUAACUCCGUGCCAGCCGCCGCGGUAAUUC
rnacentral:rRNA from 1 species